UCAACUUUAGGGUCAUUCCAUGGCGAUGGCGAACGAGAAGAAGGUUUGGGCAUCUGGUUUCCUUCGUGAAGCGGCUACUGAAGGAGGGACAUCACGUUGUCAGGGUACUUAGGCUAAUCGAUUCUACUUAGAAAUUGCUUUUGUUGUUUGUGCGAGCUUCCGGGGGAGAGAAAGAAGGCCGACCUUGUCACGGAAUUAGGCGCCUUUGACGAUAUUGUCCAAGUUUUCCAUCUCGCGGGCCGUGACUUUCAGCUACAAGGAGACCGAGAUUGUUGAUCCAUGCGUACUUGGAACUCUGAACGUGCUCAAUGCCUGGAAACAAUCCACAACAGUCAAGCGAGUGGUGUGCACGUCAUCCGUGGCUUCUGUUAGUGCGAGGAACGACUUGAUGAAUCGGUGUGGAGCUCCCCAGACUGCUGCCGUGAGAUUGAGUCCAAAUGUGGUAUGGUCUGGGAAAGACUCUACCCGAGCAAGCAGCACUCGAGUUUGGGAAAGAAAACGGCAUAGAGGUGAUCACAAUCGCUCCCAGCGUCGUGGGAGAACUUCUCUCGUCCAAGGCCACCCCACCGCAUGCGCUGCCGAUAUUCUCCGACUGCGAGUGAUCUCGAAAGCAGAACAAAAAUAGUUUUGAGAUUCCAAACACAUUGUAGGAGCCACGGAAACUGUUUCGAUCAGGCUGGAUACGUUCAUCUCGACGACGUUGCUCAAGCUCACCUCCCUGCCUAUACGCAUCCCAAAGGCACUGGAAGAUAUGUUUGUGCGAUCAACAUGAGCUACCGAGCUCGCCAGCUUCCUGUCCAAGACCUAUCCCGAGCACCAAACCGCCCCCCCCCAAGAGUGAC